AAAGCUUUAGUCCCUCCGCCCAAGUUCGCUUCUUCCCGACCCCAAGCUUUCCUUUCAGGAAGAAGGUGAGUUGCCGACCCCAGUCCGCCUUGCCCGACCCCUCCUAUCCGCCCGACCCCAGUUCCGUCUCAUCCGACCCUGUCUGUUCCGCCGACCCUUAUCCGCCUCGCCCGAGGGCUUGGCUGUGAUCUUUUCUUCAACUCGAGGGUGUAUGUGUAAAACCUGGGAACCCUUCAGCGCUUGCGUCUAAGGACCCCUAGUUUCUCACAUCCUCUAGUUCAAGGAUCAGACCACUAGUUCCUUCCUACCCUUACCUUUUGAUCAUCAUCAGCUCUCGAAC
rnacentral:lncRNA from 1 species